rnacentral:rRNA from 1 species
UACGUAGGGUGCGAGCGUUGUCCGGAAUUAUUGGGCGUAAAGCGCGCGCAGGCGGUCCUUUAAGUCUGAUGUGAAAGCCCACGGCUCAACCGUGGAGGGUCAUUGGAAACUGGGGGACUUGAGUGCAGAAGAGGAGAGUGGAAUUCCACGUGUAGCGGUGAAAUGCGUAGAUAUCGGGAAGAACACCCGUGGCGAAGGCGGCUCUCUGGGACGGUACUGACGCUGAGACGCGAAAGCGUGGGGAGCGAACAGG